rnacentral:lncRNA from 1 species
GUCGUUUUUAGUAUUGAUGUACUAUUGUUUUAUUUUUUUAUUGUCAUUAAAUCCCUAACCAAAACCUCGACAUUUGUCGUCAAAAAAAUUUUGCCCGCACUGAAAUAAAAUCCUGGCUCCGCCCCUGUCUGGGAUGGUCUUCAAAAACCCCGGGGCACCUCCACAACCUGCAAGACAAAUCAUUAUUACCCAAAAUAGAGUUCGAACACAUGAUCAACGGAAAAAGUAUUGGUAUAUACGCAAUUGAUGUUAGAUAGGCUUCAAUUGGCAUAAUAGAUAAUGAAUAAUAAUCAACUACAACAAAACUACAAAAUGCCGAAUUAACAAACAGCAAUCUAAUUGAUACAUAAAGUCACUAACCCUUCGUUUCCAUUUAGGGUAACUAAGGGAAUGCAGCAGAUAUUUUUGAAUAAAAUCAUAUUAGCAAAAUCCACUCCCCAAACAUAAUUAGAGAAAUGAUGGAGAAAUGUGCAUUAUAUAUAUUAAUCCCUGUACAUAGAAAUUAAAUGCCAAUACUGCAAUCUAUUAUACAAAAAUUUCAUACGAAUUCAAAACCACUUUCCAAACAUCAAUGAGGCUUUGUUUGUCUACCAUUUUACCACAUUAACGUUACUUUUUCUAUGGUACUCAAUUUCAACCAAACAUUCUUCAUUAAAAUAAUAUUACACGUAAAUAAAAAAAAAUCCUCUUUUUUAAUCACACAUUUCAACGACAAUUACUAUUUCAUAAUAUAUUAUUCACAAAUGAUGGGUACAAACACCCCGAAUAAAUAAAAUUUCAAGAAAAAUCUUCAGUUCCUCAUUUUUUUUUUUAGCAAUAUAUACACAUAACAAAGACAAGUUAUUUACAUAAAAAUGUUAAUAAAUAAAAGAAAUAAAACCUCGUCAUUAUCAGACUCUUGGGCACAUAAUUCGCUUAAAACCGAGACCCAAAUUAAUUAAUUCUUCGAAAAAGUCAAAAAUAACAUAACCUUAAAAGCUCACCAAUAGAAAUAUUAAAACACAAACAGAUAAAUUAUGGCGUAAAAUAAACGGUACCGGGCAAAUUGAUGUCGAUUUUGAAAGAGCCACCUUCAUAAGGAGUACCAAGAGGACCAGGGAUUGUACCAAGCAAGUGGGCCAAAUUAGCAUCGCUCUUCGGCAUAACUUUUAUGCCUGAAACCUCAAAAUCCCGGUUGCAUUCUUGCAACUCCUUCUGUACCCGUGCAAAAUCCACCAUUUUUUUUUUCUUUCUGAAUUUCAAUUCCAAGGGUUAGAAGGAUCAGGAAGAGCGAGAGAAAAAGGAGGAGAGACAAAGAGUUGUGGUUUUCUUGUUCUUUCUUGUUACAAGACUCAUCAAUUCCUCUUUAUCGAAAAGACUCUGCGCGUGAAACGGUUGUUUU